GCUGGGCGGGCCGGGCUGGGCGGCCCCGGCGGCGGGGGCGGGCCGCUCCCGGAGGCCGCGCCUCCUUUGCACCCUCCUCCCUGAAGAUGGCCGCGCAGGCCAGGGCUCCGGCACCCGGCUGCGGACCAGAUCCCCUGGGCUGCACCCGGCCUUGCGCCCCUGGUCCGCGCUCGCAGGCUCGGAAACGGGCGGUCCUCCCGAGGCUGAAAGGGAGAAGAGUGUAGUGAUUAUGAGGUUGGACCCCAGAGUUAGACAGUCUGGGUGCAAAUUCUGUAUGACCUUGGACAAAGCAUGGCACCCGAGUUUUCUCACCAACAAAAUGAGGGUACUGAUAGAAACUUCGAGUUGUUUUAAAUAUGACAUGCAUUCAUAUACCAUGUUUCAUUGAUUUUUAAGACAUGCAUUUUUUACAUUUAACACUUCUGAAAAGGAGGUGCAAUUUACAACUGAUAGUGUGGCAUAGUUUAAGUGUCUCAGUGGUAUGAAAAAUAAUGCUGUAUCUUAUGAUCAGUGACAUCUUAGAUGUGAUGAAAUUCAGGAUAUAAAGAGCUUAGAAAAAUACAUAGCACAUAGAAAGUAUAACAUAAAUAUUUACUAGAUGAUAUAGAUACAAAAUAUGGACAUAGCUCUUCUAAACUCAUCUGAGCCAACCCAUAUAGCUCAUUUUAAAACAAAUGUCCAAAGUAGCAAUGGCGAACAAUAACAUGACUGACUCAUUUCCCUGGAAAGAGAGAAGCUGUUCUCACCACCUGGCUUGGGGUUCAAGGAGGCAUCUGGUACCUAUCCCUUUAUCUUAGCCAAGAUUUCAGAAAGGUGAUAUAACUAAGACCCACUGAGAUGUGGGAACCUUGGACAGGCUAAAACUUUGGUGCCCCUUUAAGUCAAUACUCUUUUCCCAAACAUUUGUUAGAGAAGCUGGGUGCUCGAGACACAGCAGAGAAGUAAACUCCGCUGUGAGGCUCAGAAAUCCGGCUUUGACCCCAAAACUGCAUAGACCAGGGAGCAAACCCAAAGACUUUUUUUUUUUUUUUUCUGUCUUUUUGCCUUUUCUAGGGUCAUUCCUUCGGCAUGUGGAGGUUCCCAGGCUAGGGGCCUAAUCGGAGCUGUUGCCACCAGCCUGCGCCAGAGCCACAGCAAAGCCAGAUCCAAGCCGUGUCUUCGACCUACAGCACAGUUCACGGCAACGCCGGAUCCUUGACCCACUGAGCGAGGCCAGGGAUCAAACCCGCAACCUCAUGGUUCCUAGUCGGCUUCAUUAACCACUGAGCCACGACGGGAACUCCAAACCCAAAGUCUUAAGUUAAUCAACCACUCUACUUGGGAGGAUAAUGACCAUUGGCCACUGUCCCCCAAAUGACCAAUCAGUUGUGUUUUUUAAUCAUAGAGAGCUCUAUUCCUAAGGGAAGAUUCAAUAAACAUAUUUUUUAAUGCCA
rnacentral:lncRNA from 1 species